rnacentral:rRNA from 1 species
CAGCCGCCGCGGGAAUACGUAGGGUGCAAGCGUUAAUCGGAAUUACUGGGCGUAAAGCGUGCGCAGGCGGUUAUAUAAGUCAGAUGUGAAAUCCCCGGGCUCAACCUGGGAACUGCAUUUGAGACUGUAUGGCUAGAGUGUGUCAGAGGGGGGUAGAAUUCCACGUGUAGCAGUGAAAUGCGUAGAUAUGUGGAGGAAUACCGAUGGCGAAGGCAGCCCCCCGGGAUAACACUGACGCUCAUGCACGAAAGCGUGGGGAGCAAACAGGAUUAGAUACCCCAGUAGUCCCUGUCUCUUAUAC